rnacentral:rRNA from 1 species
GACGAACGCUGGCGGCGUGCCUAAUACAUGCAAGUCGAGCGAAGUUUUUCUGGUGCUUGCACUAGAAAAACUUAGCGGCGAACGGGUGAGUAACACGUAAAGAACCUGCCUCAUAGACUGGGACAACUAUUGGAAACGAUAGCUAAUACCGGAUAACAGUAUUUCUCGCAUGGGAGAUAUUUAAAAGUUGGUUAUGCUAACACUAUGAGAUGGCUUUGCGGUGCAUUAGCUAGUUGGUGGGGUAAAGGCCUACCAAGGCGACGAUGCAUAGCCGACCUGAGAGGGUGAUCGGCCACACUGGGACUGAGACACGGCCCAGACUCCUACGGGAGGCAGCAGUAGGGAAUCUUCCGCAAUGGGCGAAAGCCUGACGGAGCAACGCCGCGUGAGUGAAGAAGGAUUUCGGUUCGUAAAGCUCUGUUGUUAGGGAAGAAUGGAUAUGUAGUAACUAUACAUAUAAGA